AUGAAGAGCUCUCCUUAUUCAUCUGCUGCAGCUGUGAACACAUAGCCUGAUUUAGAAAAUUGGCAACAGCAGUUUAGGAGCUGGAAGAGAGGGUUAGACAUAGUUCUUUGUUCCCUCUUCCCCCAAAGAGCUGACUAGUACUCUCACUGAAUAUCUAAGACCCAGAAAGGGGAGCCCAAAAUAACUGCAGCAAGAAAACUGGAGUCAAUCAUCAGCAGAAGAGCCAGGAAAAUUUGGGUCACCAGCUGAUCAGUGAUAAUGGCAUGAUUGUGAAAGAGAAUGGAAAAUACCAUUACCACAAUGAGCAGUGCUUGGAUUGCAGAGAAUUAGAAAGGCCCAGCUGAGAAUACAGUGAGUUCAGUAAACGCCGUCACCCAGGAAGGCUGCACACUGUAGACCACCAGAAAGAUGAUUGGUAGAAUGAAAGAAACGACACUCGCAAACACUCCUUAGCCACCUUAAAAGUAAGGUAAGCACAAAACCUUUUACCUAUGAGAAUUUCAAAGAAUUGUUUAAUGUGCUUUUGAAUGCAGCAUCUUUUUUCA